rnacentral:rRNA from 1 species
UACGUAGGCAGCGAGCGUUGUUCGGAGUUACUGGGCGUAAAGAGCUCGUAGGCGGCUUGUCGCGUCGGAUGUGAAAGCCCGGGGCUUAACUCCGGGUCUGCAUUCGAUACGGGCAGGCUAGAGUUCGGUAGGGGAGAUCGGAAUUCCUGGUGUAGCGGUGAAAUGCGCAGAUAUCAGGAGGAACACCGGUGGCGAAGGCGGAUCUCUGGGCCGAUACUGACGCUGAGGAGCGAAAGCGUGGGGAGCGAACAGG